AAAAGUUUGAUGAAAUACUUCAUGAAAUAUCACCUCCACCGAAACUAAAUCCACAGCCAGGUCCAUCAUCUUCUUGAACAAGAAGAAAUGCUCAGAAAGCAGUUAUAAUAACAAGUAAUGACAAAUUACUAGAAUUACAGCGUGCCGAAGAAAAAAAGAUGAAUGAAAUCAAACCACCAAAUGCCGGGCACAAAAUACAAAGAGUACAAAAUAAAACUUCCUGGUUUUGUACUAGGCCUAUAUGUGAUGAAACAAAGGAAGAAGAGAUGAUACAAUGCAUUAAAUGUCACACUUGGGUCCAUACAAAAUAUGCUGGAGUGAGUCCAAAAAUCAAGAAGUACUUUUGUUUCAAUUGCGCCUGAUGGUCCAUUCUGAGAAACCUGUGGUCCAUUUUGGGAAACCAGUUUCUUUGAUUGGAUCGAUUGCUCAAUUUUUAUAAACU
rnacentral:lncRNA from 1 species